rnacentral:rRNA from 1 species
CACGCCGUAAACGUUGAGAACUAAGUGUUGGUGAGACCCAGUGCUGAAGCUAACGCAUUAAGUUCUCCGCCUGAGGAGUACGCACGCAAGUGUAAAACUUAAAGGAAUUGACGGGGGCCCGCACAAGCAGUGGAGCAUGUGGUUUAAUUCGUGGCUACGCGAAGAACCUUACCAGGGCUUGACAGGAAACUUAAGACCCUAGAGAUAGGGGGAGAAUAAGGGAAACAGGUGG